GAGUUCGUUCCCAAUAAUACCUUGGCAUAUCAUUUACAUGUUGGAAAAAACAAGACUUUGGACUGGUCAACGAGAAUGAAUAUUGCCUUGCAAACUGCAAAUGGGUUGCUAUAUUUACAUGAAGGCUGUAAACCUUCAAUUAUACACCGAGAUAUAAAAGCCGAUAACAUUCUUCUUGAUAAUAAUUUUAAAGCGAAGGUAGCAGAUUUUUCACUUUCCAGUUUUUUGGAUACUCGUAACGUUCACCACAUUUCCAGUAUAUGUAGGGGAACCAACGUCUAUGCAGAUAAAGAAUUUGGUGAUGCUCAGAAAAUUACAGAUAAAUUAGAUGUUUAUUCUUACGGUGUUAUACUUUUAGAAUUGAUUAC
rnacentral:misc_RNA from 1 species